GCGUGGGUGGCUCAGUUGGUUGAGUGCCUGACUUCAGCUCAGGUCAUUAUCUCACAGUUCAUGGGUUCAAGCUCCAUGUCGGGCU
rnacentral:tRNA from 1 species